AUGGGUUUUAACUACAAAAGGGGUUUAUUGCAUAAUUAGGCAAUCCCAUAAUUUUUGGAUAAUUAUUUGGAGUUGAAAAACUAUUGCAUUUAAAUAGUUAUAUAGCCCUAAAGGCACUUAUAGGGUAAAUGUAUUUUUAUAUAUUUUAUUUUGAGGGGAAAUUACUCCCAAAAGUUGAAUCAUGAUAAAACACAAUUUUACAAAUUUUCUGGAAUUUAUUUGGACCAAUUUGGAGUUCAAAAUCAAAAGUUAUAAAAGAAAAACAGAAAAGGAAAAAGGAAAAAGAAAAGUAGGGAAAAAAAAGGGAAACGGACCGGCCCGACCGAAUUGAGACCCCCCUCCCCAUUCCUCACGCACCCGCGCGCAGCUCAGCGCAUCAGCGCCCCGCGCCCGCGCCCGUCGAUGACAGGUGGGGUCCACCUGUCAGGCCUUCGUCCAG
rnacentral:lncRNA from 1 species